rnacentral:rRNA from 1 species
ACGGGAGGCAGCAGUGGGGGAUAUUGCACAAUGGAGGAAACUCUGAUGCAGCAACGCCGCGUGAGGGAAGAAGGUUUUCGGAUUGUAAACCUCUGUUUUUAGUGAAGAAACAAAUGACGGUAGCUAAAGAGGAAGCCACGGCUAACUACGUGCCGGCAGCCGCGGUAAUACGUAGGUGGCAAGCGUUGUCCGGAUUUACUGGGUGUAAAGGGCGUGUAGGCGGGACUACAAGUCAGAUGUGAAAGCACGAGGCUCAACUUCGUGUCUGCAUUUGAAACUGUAGUUCUUGAGUGUUGGAGAGGCUAACGGAACUCCUAGUGUAGCGGUGAAAUGCGUAGAUAUUAGGAAGAACACCAGUGGCGAAGGCGGUUAGCUGGGCAAUAACUGACGCUGAGGCGCGAAAGCGUGGGUAGCAAACAGGAUUAGAUACCCUGGUA